rnacentral:rRNA from 1 species
UCAUUCUAGAUACACUUUCCAGUACAUCUACUAUGUUACGACUUAUCUUACCUUAAUAAUAAGAGCGACGGGCGAUGUGUACAUAUUUUAGAGCUAAAAUCAAAUUAUUAAUCUUUAUAAUUUUACAACCAAAUCCACCUUCAAAAAUUUUUUCAUAAUUUUAUCCGUUUAAAUAAAUUUAUUGUAACCCAUUAUUACUUAAAUAUAAGCUACACCUUGAUCUGAUAUAAAUUUUAAUUAAAAUUAUUGAAUAUUAUUAUUCUUAUAAAAUAUUCUGAUAACGACGGUAUAUAAACUGAUUACAAACUUAAGUAAGGUCCAUCGUGGAUUAUCGAUUAAAAAACAGGUUCCUCUGGAUAGACUAAAAUACCGCCAAAUUUUUUAAGUUUCAAGAACAUAU